rnacentral:rRNA from 1 species
CGGGGGGCAGCAGUAAGGAAUAUUGCGCAAUGGGCGACAGCCUGACGCAGCGACGCCGCGUGGGGGAUGAAGGUCUUCGGAUUGUAAACCCCUUUCGGCAGGGAAGAUGGAACGGGUAACCGUUCGGACGGUACCUGCAGAAGCAGCCACGGCUAACUUCGUGCCAGCAGCCGCGGUAAUACGAAGGUGGCAAGCGUUGUUCGGAUUUACUGGGCGUACAGGGAGCGUAGGCGGUUGGGUAAGCCCUUCGUGAAAUCUCCGGGCCUAACCCGGAAAGUGCGGAGGGGACUGCUCGGCUAGAGGAUGGGAGAGGAGCGCGGAAUUCCCGGUGUAGCGGUGAAAUGCGUAGAGAUCGGGAGGAAGGCCGGUGGCGAAGGCGGCGCUCUGGAACAUUUCUGACGCUGAGGCUCGAAAGCGUGGGGAGCAAACAGGAUUAGAUACCCUUGUAGUC